UCUCCGUUGGUGAACCAGCGGAGGGAUCAUUACUGGAAUCGCAAGAACCCACAACCCCUGUGAACCUACCGAAACGUUGCCUCGGCGGGCGCCCGACCCCGCGCCGGGCGCUGAGCCCGCCGGCGGCCCCCUACUCUUGUAUCUGCAGCGUGGCAUCUCAAAGUCCCAGAAAACAAGUAAAAACUUUCAACAACGGAUCUCUUGGCUCUA
rnacentral:misc_RNA from 1 species